AUUGAACGCUGGCGGCAGGCCUAACACAUGCAAGUCGAGCGGAUGAAGGGAGCUUGCUCCUGGAUUCAGCGGCGGACGGGUGAGUAAUGCCUAGGAAUCUGCCUGGCAGUGGGGGAUAACGUCCGGAAACGGGCGCUAAUACCGCAUACGUCCUGAGGGAGAAAGUGGGGGAUCUUCGGACCUCACGCUAUUAGAUGAGCCUAGGUCGGAUUAGCUAGUUGGUUGGGUAAAGGCCUACCAAGGCGACGAUCCGUAACUGGUCUGAGAGGAUGAUCAGUCACACUGGAACUGAGACACGGUCCAGACUCCUACGGGAGGCAGCAGUGGGGAAUAUUGGACAAUGGGCGAAAGCCUGAUCCAGCCAUGCCGCGUGUGUGAAGAAGGUCUUCGGAUUGUAAAGCACUUUAAGUUGGGAGGAAGGGCAGUAAGUUAAUACCUUGCUGUUUUGACGUUACCAACAGAAUAAGCACCGGCUAACUUCGUG
rnacentral:rRNA from 1 species